UACAGAUUCGACUGACAGCAAGACAUAAGGUUUUAUUCCUCUCUUCGAUCAGCAAAGCGCAUAACAACGUAGGCUUCUGUCAUAUCUUAAUUGCAAUUUAAAUUCAUAAUAAUCUUUAAACACAAAUGGUCAAAAGUGUGUAUUUUAAAUGUCUGUGAUUGUUUUCGUGAUUUUUGGCCAUUUCAGAUGUACAAUUCGUGCGGUCUCCUUUUCCUUUCAUUUGGAUUUACCAUGCUGGAGUUCAUCACCUGUGACAGCGAUGGAUCUUUAUUGGCGGGUGAAUGUCAAAGAAUGGAUAUCAAUCAUGGUAAACCAGCACAAAACGGUGAAGCCCCCUUCAAGAUCGAACCAGAAUAUAAAGAAGUGACAGAUUCUGAACUGGGAAAGAACAUUAUUGUCUCGCUUAGGGCUUCGGCUCAAUUUAAAGGUUUCAUGUUGGACGCUCGUAAGUGUGAUGAGUGUGCGUCUGCUGGCAGGUUUCAUUUAAUCCAGACUGAACCGAACAACAGCAUACUCAUCUGUGAUGACCGUGUUGUGGCUCAAAGUAAUAACCAAAGAAAAACGAUAGUUAAUGUGUUGUGGAUCCCCGAAGAGACUGGAGUGUUUUUCUUCAGAGCUGCUUUCGUUGAAGAUUUCAGUAUUUUUUGGCUAAGGAAGCCGAUCAUACUCACGACGACUGCAUCACCCACCACUGAAUCCACCAGUCACAGUACACAAACAAGUCCAACAGGUAAGAAUAUAUAUGUUCCACAGUUUGUUACGCCAUUGUGGCCUAAAAGUUUAUGUGUAGUAAAUUCUGUGUUGAAUCAAAUCAAAUAA
ensembl:lncRNA